AGCAUUUGCUGUACCGCGUUGACGGAGCGAAGCGACGUCAAACCGAUAAAACAGCAGUGUAAAGUGAGCCGCAGGGCGCUUUGCGCGACAGCGCAAAGGCAGGCGGUUUCGCGUAGCGAAAGCGAAUGCUUUGGGGUGGGGUGACUGCGUACCUUUUGUAUAAUGGGUCAGCGACUUAUAUUCUGUAGCAAGGUUAACCGAAUAGGGGAGCCGGAGGGAAACCGAGUCUUAAUUGGGCGUUAAGUUGCAGGGUAUAGACCCGAAACCCGGUGAUCUAGCCAUGGGCAGGUUGAAGGUUGGGUAACACUAACUGGAGGACCGAACCGACUAAUGUUGAAAAAUUAGCGGAUGACCUGUGGCUGGGGGUGAAAGGCCAAUCAAACCGGGAGAUAGCUGGUUCUCCCCGAAAGCUAUUUAGGUAGCGCCUCGUGAAUUCAUCUCCGGGGGUAGAGCACUGUUUCGGCUAGGGGGCCAUCCCGGCUUACCAACCCGAUGCAAACUGCGAAUACCGGAGAAUGUUAUCACGGGAGACACACGGCGGGUGCUAACGUCCGUCGUGAAGAGGGAAACAACCCAGACCGCCAGCUAAGGUCCCAAAGUCAUGGUUAAGUGGGAAACGAUGUGGGAAGGCCCAGACAGCCAGGAUGUUGGCUUAGAAGCAGCCAUCAUUUAAAGAAAGCGUAAUAGCUCACUGGUCGAGUCGGCCUGCGCGGAAGAUGUAACGGGGCUAAACCAUGCACCGAAGCUGCGGCAGCGACACUGUGUGUUGUUGGGUAGGGGAGCGUUCUGUAA
rnacentral:rRNA from 1 species